rnacentral:rRNA from 1 species
GAUGAACGCUGGCGGCAUGCCUAACACAUGCAAGUCGAGCGGACAGACGAGGAGCUUUCCCCUCUGACGUUAGCGGCGGACGGGUGAGUGACACGUGGCUGACCUACCUAUAAGGCUGGGAUAACUUCGGGAAACCUGAGCUAAUACCGGAUAAUAUAUUGAACCGCAUGGUUCAAUAGUGAAAGACGGUUUUGUUGACACUUAUAGGUUGACGCGCGCCGCAUUAGCUAGUUGGUAAGGUAACGGCUUACCAAGGCAACGAUGCGUAGCCGAUCUGAGAGGAUGAUCCGCCACACUGGAACUGAGACACGGCCCAGACUCCUACGGGAGGCAGCAGUAGGGAAUCUUGGACAAUGGGCGAAAGCCUGACGCAGCAACGCCGCGUGAGUGAAGAAGGUCUUCGGAUUGUAAAGCUCUUUUAGUAGGGAAGAAAUAAUGUGUAUUUAACCAGGCACGUCUUGACGGUACCAACAGAGAAAGCAACGGCUAACUACGUG